AACGAACGCUGGCGGCAUGCCUAACACAUUCAAGUCGAACGAGAUCUACGGGUCUAGUGGCGCACGGGUGCGUAACGCAGGGAAAUCUGCUCUUUGGUUCGGAAUAACAGUUGGAAACGACUGCUAAUACCGGAUGAUGACGAAAGUCCAAAGAUUUAUCGCCAGAGGAUGAGCCCGCGUAGGAUUCUCUAGUUGGUGCGGUAACGGAUCACCAAGGACACGAUCCUUAGCUGGUCUGAGAGGAUGAUAAGCCACACUGGGCCUGAGACACGGCCCAAACUCGCAAGGGAGGCAGCAGUGGGGAAUAUUGGACAAUGGGCGAAAGCAUGAUCCAGCAAUGCCGCGUGUGUGAUGAAGGCCUUAGGGUUGUAAAGCUCUUUUACCGGGGAUGAUAAUGACAGUACCGGGAGAAUAAGCUCCGGCUAACUCCGUGCCAGCAGCCGCAGUAA
rnacentral:rRNA from 1 species